GGCGACGCUGCUGGUGAUUUCGGGCCCUGGAGCUUGUAGUUAAGGGCGUCACUGCCUUUUGCUGUCCAGGAUGGCCCUCCAGUCAUCAGACCAGGACAGCAAGCGUCUCUGCGAGGGGCUGACAGGAAGAACGCACAAGCUGUGGUCUGCGUUAUGCUGGCUGCCUAAGAAGACACCAAGAUGAUGGAGCAGCUGUCUUUAAAAGGUGCUGGUGAAUCACUUGAAACACCCACACGGCAUUACACGAGCAGCAUUAUGAAAUAAUUCUCUUUUGUUUUUGUUUUUUCAUCCCCUUAGAACGCAUUGCUGAAUCCCUUUCAUGUUUGAGACAAACAUUUACAUUUGUGACUCAAAAAGGAUCUACACCCCUGUUCAAACGCCAAAUUUUUGUAAUAUAAAAACACAUUGACAGAUAAAUGUGAACAAAGACCUUUCUUUCUGACGCACAUGAUAAUUUGCCAAUGUGUCAAACCGCCGCAGUAUAGCGCCAACUACUGGUGAGAAGGACUGACUCUGUCAGAUUUCUUUGCUCAAAGUAUCGGAGGGUGGUAUUGGCAGCCUUCACGUGUACCCGAUACCUUGAUGUAAGGCCGGUAUCGGUCUGAUACAUAUACCUGGUAUUCAUUAAUUUUACAACAUGAAGACUAAUUAAUUUUGCCUGCCUAGGACAUGUAGUUACUCACACCCUGUAUUGCAAAUACUAUUAUUACAGUAGUCUUGGUUUGGUUUCAAGGUUUCUUUCUAUUACAGGAGCUUUUCCAUGCAUCUGUGGCCAAAGUGUUUGUGAAUAUGGGGAAUUGAUAAUUAUGUUAAAAUGAGGAUAACCUGCUCCAGAAAGUCAUGACCCAAAUGCUUUUCCACCCACGCAUACUGGAAGAGGACAAACACACGAGAGGAAAUGCCAUGCCGUAAUAAUUGCUCAAGGGAAGAAAAUGAGACAUUGCUACACCCUGGAAUUCCACAAGAUGGCAGCAGAUAAGCAUGAACAUUCAUGAAGAUGCAAGCUCCUUUUACACAGCCUCGUCAAGCAGAUCUUCCCACCCCUCCACUUAUUUUUUUUUCAGGUUGCUUCUCUG